AGACCACUGGUUAUACAUUUCCCCCUUUUUAUUAAUCUGCCUGAGGACAGACAGGCUUUCCAGAGAUGUUUCAUUAAUACUUUUAAUUACCUUUCAGGUAGUUCCAUCAUGUUUCUUCAUUGGAUUUGUAAAACUUGAAGCCAUAAAAAUAUUAGUUUGGUGUGUAUUGGGGAAAAUAGCUGAAAGUCUAAUUUUGACUCAUUUUAGACUUUGUUAUUUCCUUGUAUAAAGUAACAAACCGGGGCUCUUGUAUCAGUGCCAUCUGUAAUGUUUUUAAAUGCAGUGGCUGCCUUCUAUUGUCUUCCUAUUUUUGAUAAUGCAGAUUGUUGGGAAAUCUAUAAGGAAGUAACUGACUCUAGGCAAAUUGUUUUCUUCCUUCUACCCACCCAAACCCUACCCAUCACCUUUUUGGAACACAGUAUGCCAGUGUAAUGUGGGAACCAUUGAGACUGUAUUUGCCCUGAGUACCAAACUAAUUUAGUGAACUUUUUUCUUUUAAAGCAUACUGGUAAAUGAUGUCCACAAAUUUCCUUAGAUAUAUUUUAAUUAAUUGUUUUAAAGUACAUUGAUAUUUAUUAAUCAUUGGAUUUGGGGAGCAGAUUUUUGACUGUGGCAGAUGGUAAGGAACAGAACAGUAAAUAGUUGGACGAGAUCAAUCAGGGCGAAUUACAUUUUUUCUGUUACACUGGUGAUCAUUUGAUAAUUGAUUUACCUCAGUGUUUAACAGUUUUUGUUUUGUUUUAAAAAUACUAACUAAUUGUCAAGCACUGAUAGAGAUGCAGGUUUUGGUGGGUGUGGGUUGUGAGGAAGAUCUCACCUUACCAACUGCAGUGCAUUUCUGUGUUUUUAACCCUCAGAGAACUCUCAUUUUAGGGUACUUGAGGCUGACUUGCAAAUUAACUAAAGUUUUAAGGUAACCUUUUUUCCAUUGUAAAUAUUUCUGUAAAUACUACCAGUUGGAUAUUAGAACAGUAGGAUACUUUUCUGAAUCCAAUCCUAUUUUUAUUUUAUACAGUAUUUCUCAGCUGUGAUCUUUGGAGCAAAAGCCAACGGCAGGAAAAAAUAGUUUGUACCAGUUUCAUGAAGUAUGUCUUUGGGUUUUUGUAAAUAAUUUUAACUCAAAUAAAAUUGCUACUUUAAAUACA
rnacentral:lncRNA from 1 species